UACGAAGGGGGCUAGCGUUGUUCGGAAUUACUGGGCGUAAAGCGUGCGCAGGCGGCUUCUCAAGUCAGGGGUGAAAGCCCAGAGCUUAACUCUGGAAUUGCCUUUGAGACUGAGAGGCUUGAGUACGGGAGAGGUGAGUGGAAUUCCCAGUGUAGAGGUGAAAUUCGUAGAUAUUGGGAAGAACACCGGUGGCGAAGGCGGCUCACUGGCCCGUAACUGACGCUCAUGCACGACAGCGCGGGGAUCAAACAGG
rnacentral:rRNA from 1 species